CCCCAAUGGACGAAAGUCUGAGGGAGCGACGCCGCGUGAAUGAAGAAGCCCUUCGGGGUGUAAAUUCUUUCUUUAGGAAAAUUCGUGAUGGUACUAAAGGAAUAAGGGGCCGCCAAACUCGUGCCAGCAGCGGCGGUAAUACGAGUGCCCCGAGCGUUAUCCGGAAUUACUGGGGCGUAAAGCGCUAAAAGGCGGUUUGAUAAGUCAGACGUCAAAUCUCCGAGCUCAACUCGGAGCCGGUGUCUGAAACUGUCUAACUUGAGGACGGAAGAGGCAAGCGGGAAU
rnacentral:rRNA from 1 species